AGUGAACGCUGGCGGUAGGCCUGACACAUGCAAGUCGAACGGCAGCACAGUAAGAGCUUGCUCUUACGGGUGGCGAGUGGCGGACGGGUGAGGAAUACAUCGGAAUCUACUUUUUCGUGGGGGAUAACGUAGGGAAACUUACGCUAAUACCGCAUACGACCUACGGGUGAAAGCAGGGGAUCUUCGGACCUUGCGCGAUUGAAUGAGCCGAUGUCGGAUUAGCUAGUUGGCGGGGCAAAGGCCCACCAAGGCGACGAUCCGUAGCUGGUCUGAGAGGAUGAUCAGCCACACUGGAACUGAGACACGGUCCAGACUCCUACGGGAGGCAGCAGUGGGGAAUAUUGGACAAUGGGCGCAAGCCUGAUCCAGCCAUACCGCGUGGGUGAAGAAGGCCUUCGGGUUGUAAAGCCCUUUUGUUGGGAAAGAAAAGCAGCAGGUUAAUACCCCGCUGUUCUGACGGUACCCAAAGAAUAAGCACCGGCUAACUUCGUG
rnacentral:rRNA from 1 species